rnacentral:rRNA from 1 species
GAUGAACGCUGGCGGCGUGCCUAAUACAUGCAAGUCGAGCGAACAGACGAGGAGCUUGCUCCUCUGACGUUAGCGGCGGACGGGUGAGUAACACGUGGAUAACCUACCUAUAAGACUGGGAUAACUUCGGGAAACCGGAGCUAAUACCGGAUAAUAUAUUGAACCGCAUGGUUCAAUAGUGAAAGACGGUUUUGCUGUCACUUUUAGAUGGAUCCGCGCCGCAUUAGCUAGUUGGUAAGGUAACGGCUUACCAAGGCGACGAUGCGUAGCCGACCUGAGAGGGUGAUCGGCCACACUGGAGCUGAGACACGGUCCAGACUCCUACGGGAGGCAGCAGUAGGGAAUCUUCCGCAAUGGGCGAAAGCCUGACGGAGCAACGCCGCGUGAGUGAUGAAGGUCUUCGGAUCGUAAAACUCUGUUAUUAGGGAAGAACAAAUGUGUAAGUAACUAUGCACGUCUUGACGGUACCUAAUCAGAAAGCCACGGCUAACUACGUG